UUGUGUGUACCCCUUCUCCUUCCUUUUAGAACUCACUGAAAACCUUCAACUGGAAAUUUUUCUCCGGCAGUUGUAACUUUUUUCUCAUUCCACUACCUCCCUCUUCUAUAUUUCGUCCUUUUCUUACCAACAAAGCAAGAACCACUAAAAUGUAAAAAUUUCAGAUCUGAGCUUACCAAACGUUGCUUUGAAUGGCAAAUCAAUAUUGGUUUGAUCUUAUUUACCAAUAAUUUAAUUUAUUUGAACUUUGACUUGAAAAUUUGAUUGCAAGAUUGCUGGCCAAAUAAUCUUUUUCUUCAUAAAAAAAUUUGUCUCUGCAAUUCUCUAUGAUUUGCACAGGUAAGAGAUGAGAUUGAGGUAAAGAGGAAGAAAAUGGCUAAUAUAGAUCUUAUUUACUUGUCCAUCAACAUCCUAUUUUUCUUAGUGAUUUUAUUAUCAUCUCCACCUCCAUCGACGGUCCACCCAUUGCAGCUAUUCCUUCCCCUCCUAUGGCGAUUUUUUUAUUGUGGUGAAGAAAUGAUCUUUGAUUUUGUUGGGUACUAAGUGGUAAAAGGCACUUGUGGUGAAAGAUGAUAAAAAUGGUGGAGCAAUAGCAAAAAGUGAAACUGGGAAAUAAAGAAAAGAAAGGAGAGGGGAGGUCGUGGGUGAAAAGCGGGAGGGAGAAAGUAGGACCUAGCAAGCAGAUGGAGUCAAAAGAGGAUGAAGUUAGUAUUAUGGUGGGCAAUAGGCUAAAAGCGAAAGAAGAAUUUAUAGGACUGUUAUUUUGUCUUUUCAAAAUAUUUUCUAGUAUUUGUUUAGAAAAGUACUAUCUGUAUCGUCUAUGAGACGGAAGUUAAUUUCUGUUUCACUUUUCGGCAAGUCUGGUUAUUUGUUUCAACUACAUAAUGGUUUUAUUAAACUUUUUUAUGAUUCA